rnacentral:rRNA from 1 species
AGAAUCAACGCUGGCGGCGUGCCUAACACAUGCAAGUCGCACGAGAAAGGGACUUCGGUCCUGAGUAAAGUGGCGCACGGGUGAGUAACACGUGACUUAUCUACCUCCGAGUGGGGAAUAACUGAGGGAAACCUUAGCUAAUACCGCAUAACACUUACGAGUCAAAGCAGCAAUGCGCUUGGAGAGGAGGUCGCGGCAGAUUAGCUAGUUGGCGGGGUAACGGCCCACCAAGGCGAAGAUCGGUA